UGCCCUUAGAAUAAAUCUCUCUCUUUUCUUUCUCUAUCUUUCUCUCUCUUUCUCUUUCUCUUUACCCUUUCAAAGAUCGGAGAAGCCUAUCGCCCCGAUUGUGUUUCACUCUUUCUUCCGCUCUUCUUCUCUCCUUCCCUUUCUGUGUUCCCUCGUGACGACCCUUCCCUUCUAUCUCAUAGUGGUCCCUUAGGUCCACCUAUCAUCUUGUGCUACUUGUACGUCCAUCUCCUCCCUUGUGUACUCUCGGGUCCACCUCUCCCUUUCUCUGAUAGUCCCUCAGUCCACUUCCCUUUCCCUUCUUUUUCUGUGCACCUUCACGUCAACCCUUUGUGCACCCUCACUCCCUUUCCUCCCUCUCACCCCGUCAUCCCAACCACCAUUCCCCAAAACUUUUCUUCUCACUAGCGCCUGUAAAUUUCUGCUCACUGCCGCCUGUGGAAUUCUUCUCAUGGCCGUCUGUGAAAACAUACCCCCCCCAUCGCCGCGCGUGAACUCCCUAACGACGUGCGUCAAACAUCCUUCCUGCCUGCCGCUCGUGCAACCACAACUCUAUCGCCGUGUGUAACCACCUCAUCGCCGUGAGUGAACUCCACCAUCGCCGUGUGCCUCAGCUCUUCCUCCCGGCCAGCAACCUCUUCCUCUCUUUCCACCUCAGCUGCUCCCACCUCUUCCUCUCUUUCCACCUCAGCUGCUCCCACCUCUUCCUCUCUUAACUGUUGCAGCCACCUCUCACCUUCACUCGUCCCCUUUCUUCUUCUCCUCUGCAUCAGAACUAGGCAGCAGCCCCAACUGCCGCACUCUCCACCUGCUCUCGAGCCACCACUGUGCCCUCUCUCUCUAAAACUAAAAGAAAAGAAAAAACCCAACAGGCCUCCCCCUCUUGCUCUGUCACCCCUGCCCACCCUGUUUCUCUCCUCUUUUCAUCAUCUCGUUGCAGCCCAUUCUGCUGGAACCCAUCGUUGCCGCUGCCAACCUCUUUCCAUCUGAGCUGCUUCACCUUUAGCAAUUGUCAUCAGCAGCCCAACGCCUUCUUCCCUCCUCUUCCUCCACUGCUGCUCCACCACUAGUAACUCUUCUACCUUCUUCUCAGCCACCUGCAGCCCGUCGCUGCUCUCUCUCCACCCCAUCCUGCUGUCCUCUUGUCUUCUCAACAGCUGCAACCAGCCACCACUCUCGAACUUCCUGUUACUUCCACUCACCAACCACAUCACUAUCACCUUCCCAUUCAAUUGCUCCCCCAUCUUCCUUCUCUUCACCUCUGCCAAUCUUGUUCCCCUCUCUUCACCUGUAACCUCCACCUUCUCAAUUCUCUUCCACCGCCAUUUCAGCCACACUCCCCUGCUCAGCCACUCUGCUGCUCUCCCCCUUUGGCUCCCUGCGACCAGGCGGCAACCUCUGCUGCCGCUUCAUCCCUCCGUCAGCCACUGUCUCUACCCUUCUCCCACUUCUUUCCUUUGCCACGCUCCUCCUCGCGCGGUGUUCUUCUUCUCUUCCGCCCACUUACAAUCACUCGCGCACCCUCUCUCUCUGUUCCUCAGUCGUCUCCUCGUAUUUUCUGCCACCCCUCCCAGUCAUCUUUGCCGCGCAAACCUCUGCCUCUCUCAACCGCAACCCUCUGUCAUCAUUGUCCCCAUCUCCGACUAGUCACUACCCUCUCUUCCUCACCUUCCGCAAUUUUCCCAUCCAUUCGUUGCCUGCUUCCUACUUCCUCCAUUGUCUCGUGCUUUCCACCCUCUGCCAUCUUCCACUUUCUCUCACUAGAAACCCACAAAACAAAACACCUACCUCCUCUCUUUCUAAUUUCGUUUCGUUUUGCUUUUUGUCAAAGUUUCGUUCCCCC
rnacentral:lncRNA from 1 species